GAUGAAGAACGCAGCGAAAUGCGAUAAGUAGUGUGAAUUGCAGAAUUCAGUGAAUCAUCGAAUCUUUGAACGCACAUUGCGGCCAUAGGUAUUCCUUUGGCCAUGCCUGUUCGAGCGUCAUUUACACCCUCAAGCCUAGCUUGGUGUUGGGCGUCUGUCCCGCCGUUUUCGCGCGCGGACUCGCCUCAAAGUCAUUGGCGGCGGUCGUGCCGGCCCCCUCGCGCAGCACAUUUGCGCUUCUCGGAGGCCCGGCGGAUCCGCGCUCCAGCAAGACCUUUCACGACUUGACCUCGGAUCAGGUAGGGAUACCCGCUGAACUUAAGCAUAUCAAUAAGCGGAGGA
rnacentral:misc_RNA from 1 species